rnacentral:lncRNA from 1 species
UUCUUAUUUUCACCAAAAGAUAUUUUCUUCUUCUUUCUAACCCUUCCACGCCAUUUUCUCUUUCUCCACCAUAAAAUCAAAUUAUCUUUCAUUUUCUUUCCUUUCUUUCUUCUCCUUUCCUAUCUUUUCUUACUUCUUUUUUCUCUUAACUUCUUAGGCACCAAACCUACAGCUUCUAACCCCAUUUUCCAGCAUAACCAAACCCUAGGAGAGAGAAGGAAAAAAUCUCUCUUUCUUUCCUUUAUUUUCUAUUUCUACUCCACCAUCACCAACACUUAAAUUUUCAACUUUAAAUCUCCAUUUUUAAGGCUAAAAGGUAUAUAUUUUUAACUCUUGGAAUUUAUGAAUUUAUGGGUUAUAUUUUCAGAUUUUAUUUCCUAAUUUCUUCAAAUUCUUUUUCUUGGAAAUAUUAGGUUUUUGUUGAUCUUUAUGCCUCCAAGCUCACCAAGGUAAAAACCUUUAAAUUGAAAUAGUUGAUAUGAUGGGUUUGAGAAUCAUAUUAGAAUUCUAGGUUAAAAAUUAAGCUAGAAUGUAGUUUAUCAAGAGUAUGCUUACUAGAAUUAUUAAGUUUAAAUUUAUGAUAUAUUUGAAGCUAUUAUUGUUUAUUGACAAUUAUAGGUUUUAAUGGUAUUUUGGGACUACUUGGAUUAAGAUCUUAUGGGUGCUAGUCUUGUUAGGUGGCAUUGUUAAGGUGAGUGAACUUGCAUUAAAUUAUUUUUGAGAAAUACACAUGUGUUGGGAUAAAGCACUUAAAUGAUUUUAUUUGAUUUUUUUCUCUAAAUCAUGCUUGGGAACAAGCCUUGAUGAAACUUUUAUGUUGUAAAAUGUGUAAUGUGAUGAACCCAUGUGUUCCUAUAUUCUGAUGAUAUAUAUGUUAUGCUUUAAAUGAUAAUAUUGUGUGAUAAUUGUAACAGCGCGUGUGCGGUGUGGGAGUGUACAUGUCGGUGAUGACGGGUGAUUCUAGCUAUGUGCAGUGUGGGAGUGCACAUGAGCUGAUGACCGGUGGAUGAUGAUUCCAGCUAUGUGCGGUGUGGGAGUGCACAUGAGCUGAUGACCGAUGGGUGAUGAUUCUAGCCAUGUGCAGUGUGGGAGUGCACAUGAGCUGAUGAGCCGAU